AGAGUUUGAUCAUGGCUCAGAUUGAACGCUGGCGGCAUGCUUUACACAUGCAAGUCGAGCGGCAGCGCGGGGGCAACCCUGGCGGCGAGCGGCGAACGGGUGAGUAAUAGAUAGGAACGUGUCCGGGAGUGGGGGAUAACUAGCCGAAAGGUUAGCUAAUACCGCAUAUUCUCUACGGAGGAAAGCGGGGGAUCUGCAAGGACCUCGCGCUCGCGGAGUGGCCUAUCUCCGAUUAGCUAGUUGGUGAGGUAAAGGCUUACCAAGGCGACGAUCGGUAGCUGGUCUGAGAGGAUGAUCAGCCACACUGGGACUGAGACACGGCCCAGACUCCUACGGGAGGCAGCAGUGGGGAAUUUUGGACAAUGGGGGCAACCCUGAUCCAGCCAUGCCGCGUGCGGGAAGAAGGCCUUCGGGUUGUAAACCGCUUUUAUUCGGAAAGAAGGAGUGGGGGUUAAUACCCCUCAUGACAGACGGUACCGGAUGAAUAAGCACCGGCUAACUACGUGCCAGCAGCCGCGGUAAUACGUAGGGUGCGAGCGUUAAUCGGAAUUACUGGGCGUAAAGCGUGCGCAGGCGGUUCGUUAAGUCAGCUGUGAAAGCCCCGGGCUCAACCUGGGAAUUGCGGUUGAAACUGGCGGGCUAGAAUCUGGCAGAGGGGGGUGGAAUUCCACGUGUAGCAGUGAAAUGCGUAGAGAUGUGGAGGAACACCGAUGGCGAAGGCAGCCCCCUGGGCUGAGAUUGACGCUCAGGCACGAAAGCGUGGGGAGCAAACAGGAUUAGAUACCCUAGUAGUCC
rnacentral:rRNA from 1 species